rnacentral:rRNA from 1 species
UACAGAGGUCUCAAGCGUUGUUCGGAUUCAUUGGGCGUAAAGGGUGCGUAGGCGGCGCGGUAAGUCGGGUGUGAAAUCUCGGAGCUUAACUCCGAAACUGCAUUCGAUACUGCCGUGCUUGAGGACUGGAGAGGAGACUGGAAUUUACGGUGUAGCGGUGAAAUGCGUAGAUAAUCGUAAGGAAGACCAGUGGCGAAGGCGGGUCUCUGGACAGUUCCUGACGCUGAGGCACGAAAGCUAGGGGAGCAAACAGG